rnacentral:rRNA from 1 species
AUGGAGGUCCGCAAGCGUAGCGGCCCUGGGGAUGGCCUCUGCCCCCUUUGUUUGGUUCCGGAAGAUUGCAACCACAUUUUCUUCCGUUGCCCUGCAGCUCAAUUCCUAUGGAGUUGCUUCCGGGAGGUCGUGGGUGGCAACUGGUGCCACGAUAACCUCCCGGACCUGUUUGGGGAGGCCUUUAGCCUCCCUAGCCCCCGGAAAGCCGCCACUUGGGUGGCUUUGGGGACCCUUGUUUGGACCCCGUGGUGUAUCCGCAAUAAGCUUGUCAUCGAGCGUGUGAUUCCCAACCGUACGACUGACGCUAUCUAUAAAAUGUGUGGCUUCUUACAGCUCUGGAGACCGCUUAGCAAGCGGCAUGAUCGGGACAUCCUUGACAACAUCAGUGCAGGCCUUCGAUCCUCGGCAGCAGCUCUCUCGCCAGCACCACCUCCACCGCCACCCCCACCCGAGCCGGAUUAG